rnacentral:rRNA from 1 species
AUUGAACGCUGGCGGCAGGCCUAACACAUGCAAGUCGAACGAGUGGCGGACGGGUGUGUCAUGUCUGGGAAACUGCCUUAUGGAGGGGGAUCACUACUGGAAACGGUCGCUAAUACCACAUACCAUCAGCUGUGCCCAGAUGGGAUUAGCUUGUUGGUGGGGUAACGGCUCACCAAGGCGACGAUCCCUAGCUGGUCUGAGAGGAUGACCAGCCACACUGGAACUGAGACACGGUCCAGACUCCUACGGGAGGCAGCAGUGGGGAAUAUUGCACAAUGGGCGCAAGCCUGAUGCAGCCAUGCCGCGUGUAUGAAGAAGGCCUUCGGGUUGUAAAGUACUGUCAGCGGGGAGGCGUUACCCGCAGAAGAAGCACCGGCUAACUCCGUGCCAGCAGCCGCGGUAAUAC